CGAACACAAAAUAAACGAAUUAACUCUAUUUUCUUCUAAUUAUGAUUAACACUAAAUGGUAUCUGCUAUAAGAGCUACCCUAUAUCUAUACAGGCAUACAACUAUUUACAUGAAACGGCCACAUUUGAUAUACGCACGAGUUUCCUCGACAAUACUGGCACAAAGUCCCACAUGGCUGAGCGUGUUCCUAAGAUUGAACGCUGUUCAUCAGUUUAUUCAAAACAAUAAAUAAAUAAUAGUAAUUUUUACCAACCUUAGCUCCAGGAUAUGAUUAUUCCUUGACCGACCUAUUAAUAUCCGCAAUUCCCGCCAAAACUCUCACGACUGAGUGCAAUUCCCGCCAAAACGUUUACGACUGAGUCAGUACAGGACUGAGUCCAUGUACCGUCGCUUGCAGGAUGAACGGUCGCCAGUUGAUAAAAACAUUGCCUAUUCGCGUGAGAAUCUUCGAUAUUUGUCAAGAGCACUUGACAGGUUCUGAUCUGAUGUUAAUCUGUUGAACAACCAGAUCCAAGCUUUGAAACCACCAAAUAAUCAUAA